CUUAGUUUGAGAAAGGUGGUUGUAGUAAGAAGGGGGAAAAGGAAAAGGAAAAGAAUGAUAAGCCCAAAAGGGCUCAAAAAGGUAACAAAAAUAGGUGCAAGUUGUGUGAGGUACUUGGGCACAGAAUUGGUUCAUCCAAGUGCAUCUACACUCCUCAGAGGCCAAAGAGGAAGCGUGCAGAAAAAGCCCCACCGCUUGUUGUUGAACAAUGCUGGCCAGUGAAAAAAGCAAGACUCAGUGACUAUAGAAGGAAGAGCACUAAGCAGAUAAUGUUUGGUGACAAAGAUAUGGAGCUAACUGAAACUGUUACUGCUGAACAUGAGCUAAGUGUUUGUGUUUUGGACGAUGUGAUGCAUACUGAAUCUGUUUUGCAGACGCUAGGGCAAUCUGAAACUGUUGCAGAUGAAGCAACUGUUGUGCUGCCAUUCGAAUCUGCUUUGACAACUGUGUUGCCAUGUUUGGAGGUUGUGCUGCCAAGUGUUGAGUUGCAAACUGAAGUAGUUGAACAAUGUGUGCCAUCUACUCAAUCUGCAGAAGUGCAAACUGAAGAAGUGAGACAUGGUCAGGUGCAAAAGUUGAGGGGGCCAAAAAGCAAGAGCAUCAGCAUCAACAAAUUAUACGCCGUGGAACCAAACGGUGGAAAAAAGCAGAAGAAAUCGAGUGGUAGAAAGAAGCAGAAGAAAUAGAGUCGAAAACAUUCAAAUUUGAUGUGAAAACUUAAGUUUGUUGUCAUUUGAUGUGAAAACUUAUGUUCUUUCAUGUGAUAACUUAUGUGCUAUGAUGUUGAUUUGACUUGAAAUAAAAUUCAAAUUUGAACCGAUAUUCAAAUUUGAACCUAUCUUCAAUA